CCUACGGGUGGCAGCAGUGAGGAAUAUUGGUCAAUGGGCGCGAGCCUGAACCAGCCAAGUAGCGUGAAGGAUGACUGCCCUACGGGUUGUAAACUUCUUUUAUAAAGGAAUAAAGUGAGGCACGUGUGCCUUUUUGUAUGUACUUUAUGAAUAAGGAUCGGCGAAAUCCGUGCCAGCAGCCGCGGUAAUACAGAGGAUCCGAGCGUUAUCCGGAUUUAUUUGGGUUAAAGGGAGCGUAGAUGGGUUGUUAAGUCAGUUGUUAAAGUUUGCGGAGCAAACGUAAAAUUGCAAUUGAUACUGGCAGUCUUGAGGACAGUUGAGGUAGGCGGAAUUCGUGGUGUAGCGGUGAAAUGCUUAGAUAUCACGAAGAACUCCGAUUGCGAAGGCAGCUUAACAAACUGCCACUGACAUUGAUGCUCGAAAGUGUGGGUAUCAAACAGGAUUAGAUACCCGAGUAGUC
rnacentral:rRNA from 1 species